rnacentral:misc_RNA from 1 species
UUUCCGUAGGUGAACCUGCGGAAGGAUCAUUAAUGAAUGCAAGGGUGCUCUUUUUAGAGACCCGACCCAUUUCAUCUAUACACCGUGAACACACUUCGUUUUUACACCAUUUUAAACUCAAGUAAUAAGAAUGUAACUAGUCUCCUAGCGGAGCAUAAAACAAUACAACUUUCGGCAACGGAUCUCUUGGCUCCCGCAUCGAUGAAGAACGCAGC